UACGUAGGGGGCUAGCGUUGUCCGGAUUUAUUGGGCGUAAAGAGCGUGUAGGCGGCCAGGUAGGUCUGGUGUGAAAACUCGAGGCUUAACCUCGAGAUGUCAUCGGAAACCAUCUGGCUAGAGUCCGGAAGAGGAGAGUGGAAUUCCCAGUGUAGCGGUGAAAUGCGUAGAUAUUGGGAGGAACACCGGUGGCGAAGGCGGCCCCCUGGACCGGAACUGACGCUGAGGCGCGAAAGCGUGGGUAGCAAACGGG
rnacentral:rRNA from 1 species